rnacentral:lncRNA from 1 species
CGACAUCAAACAUCACGGCUGCAGAUCUAGAGGCCCGUUCUCCACGCAGCUUUCUCAGUAACAAAGCUCUCCUUUCUCGUCAGACCCUGUGUCCUUCUUCUUCUCCACUGGUUUCUGAACUCGGGAUGUUAUUUAACAGCCUUCCUAAAGCCCUAACAUCAUCAAACAGCCCACUGAGGAAAAUGGCCCCUUCUCUCUCAGCUCACACGGCCUCAUGCUGCGUCAAUCACACACACCGUCUACGGGAGAAUUAACUGAGUUGGCUAUUACUGUAUUUAGUUUACUCCUGGAAUGCUGGAGGAUUAAAUUAUAAGCACACCUUUUCUUGGAAGUUGAAGACAGUCUCUGCUAAGCGUUGUACAUAGGGAUCGAGUUUGUAGGAUUCCCACACCAAUGCAAUGCCCUCUGCGAUCAGGGCCUGCACUUCCUUUUUCAAGCCAGCUACCAGAAGAGAAAUGGUAUUCCGCUCCUCCACUUUUUCACAGGUUCGUUCGUAAGUCCGGACACUUUCAAUCAGGGAGAUGGCAAAUGGGUAGAGCUGGUUUGCUUGAUGAGCCUUGUUCACAAUUGCCAGUGGGACUCGGAAACCAAGCCACUUGAGGUUUCGAACUUCUUUUGAAAGCGUGAUAAUCUCAGGAAGGAAGUUAACUUUUAGCUUAAGGACAUUUCCACUUCGGCCCCGAACACGAGUACUUUCAAUGGUGAAAAUGCGCCCCGAGACGCCGAGGUUCCGCUGCUGCACCUUCCUUGCCCAGUCAUCAAAUAUUUCUUGAGUGUUGAGUUUCAUGCGGAAACUGUCUCCAUCCUGCUUCAGCUUCUGCCCUUCCACGUGGUUCUCCCACCCCUUGCCCAGGACGUCCUCCACACGUUUCAUGUAGGCGGUCAGCUGUCUGUCAAUCUGUUUCGCCCAGAUGAUAGAUCCUGACACAGGUGGCAGAUCACGCACAUGGCUCAUCUUACAUGCCUGACUUUGUGGGUACUGGACCUUGAACUUGUCGUGAAGAGACUCGAUGUCAUCCUUCACACGCUGGAUUAGCUGGGUCUGGUAUUCGCGGAUGGCCCCACGGAUGUGAGGCCUGACAAACAGUGCAUUGAACCUGGAGAAAAUCCUAAACAUCUCGUUAGCAUUCUUGGCUGUGCCCAGCUGAUCUCGAAGGCGAGCAGUGAUCCGGGUCUCCACCCUGUCAAUCCUUUCGUCGUACCUCUUCAUCGCAGCCUCCCAAGCUUCUGUGCCUUCCUUGGAAACAUCUAGCCCAUCCACUUCCUUAACAUUCUCAUAAGCAAGGUUUACUUCCUCAAUAGCAUUUGCAUCAGCAGCAUCAAAGAGAACCUCAGCUACUUUCAUAUCUUGGGGUUCAGGAACCUCUCCUUGAUUCUGUUGUGCAACUGCUGUGACCUG